rnacentral:rRNA from 1 species
CCCUUAGAUGUUCUGGGCCACACGCGCGCUACACUGAUACAUGCAACGAGUUUAUAACCUUGAUCUGACGGUCUGGGUAAUCUUCAAACUGUAUCGUGUUAGGGAUCGAUUCUUGCAAUUUUUAAUCGUAAACGAGGAAUUCCUAGUAAACGCAAGUCAUCAGCUUGCAUUGAUUACGUCCCUGCCCUUUGUACACACCGCCCGUCGACUCUACCGAUUGAAUGGUUCGGUGAAAACUUUGGACUGUGGCAUUGUCCUUCAUUGGACUUCGCCGUAGGAAAUUGUUUAAACCUCAUCAUUUAGAGGAAGAAUAAGUCGUAACA